rnacentral:rRNA from 1 species
UACGAAGGGGGGCUAGCGUUGCUCGGAAUCACUGGGCGUAAAGGGCUCGUAGGCGGCCAACUAAGUCGGAUGUGAAAUCCCCAGGCUCAACUUGGGAACUGCAUCCGAUACUGGAUGGCUUGAAUUCGGGAGAGGGAUGCAGAAUUCCAGGUGUAGCGGUGAAAUGCGUAGAUAUCUGGAGGAAUACCGGUGGCGAAGGCGGCAUCCUGGACCGACAUUGACGCUGAGGAGCGAAAGCUAGGGGAGCAAACGGG